AAACAGUGCCUGAGUUUUCUGUGACACUUACAGAGGACCCUGGUCGCAGAGGACGGGAGAAUCUUAUGCAGUGUUUUGGAAGGAGACAAACAAGACCCUCUUUCCAAUGAACGGGUGUGCUGUUCUGUAAACCUGUUAGUUAUCAGGUGCAGGGGUGACCAGUCAGCUGGAGUGUGGAAAGUAUGGAGCAGGAAAAAAUUGAAUACUUCUGAGACCCAAAACUAAAUGUUUUAAGAUCUUUGCUUUUGAUAAUUUGUUGUUGCCACCACCCCAGAGACAACUGUAUCUUCCCUUUGAUUACAGAUCAUCACGUUUCGUCUAUUCCUUUAUAGUAGGAGUGAAAAUUCCUUGAGUGCCUACUAUGAGCCAUACACUUUGCAUGGGUUAUCUUUGAUCCCUGUAUCAACUCCCCGUGUUGGGUAUUCUUGAGGCUGUUUGCACUUGAGGAAACUGAAGCUAAAGCUAAGAGAAGUGACUCUGUGAGUGGUGGAGUUCCACAUUCUUCUUCCUUUUUUUUUUUUUUUAGGCCCGCACCUGCAGCAUAUAGAAGUUCCCAGGCCAGGGGCUGAACCGGAGCUGCAGCUGCUGGCCUAUGCCACAGCCACAGCAACGCCAGAUCCAAGCCGUAUUUGCAACCUACACCACAGCUCACGGCCACACCAGAUCCUGGACCCACUGUGUGAGGCCAGGAAUCACACCCACAUCGUCAUGGAUACUAGUCGGAUUCAUUUCCACUGCGCCGCAAUGAGAACUCCCCAAAUUCUUCUUGAUGUUCUGAGCUGAUCUUUUUUUUUUUUUUUAUAACUUAAAAAAGUGACACCCUAGACACCCAGAAAGGCGCUUCAUGGACCCCACACCAAGAUCACAGGAUUGUUAAUUAUCCGAGCUAGAAGGACUCUCUGGCAAUCAUCUUGUACAAACACCUAUUUUGCAGUUUCUCACCUACGAAAUCAAUGGUAACGAUUUGCCAGGCACUGACUAGCACCACCAACUAGGAAUUUAGCACCAGGGGGAAGAGGUGGGGUGCGGGGUUACUUGUAAUAAUUCGUGUUGAAGCUACCAUUUGGUUGCGUUUCAGACUGGAGUAAUUCCAAAAUCCUCACCAUCUGUACUUGCAUUUUCCUAACCCAGUGACAAGGACUAUCAUCUCCAGCUUCUACGUUCUCUUUUCAAAGCCCUUGGGAAAAUUCCCAACUGCCUUCCUAAUUCUACUCCCAUUCUCUUUCCCCUUCCAUCAGAUUCUUAAGAGGGACACUGACACACUUUCUCCAUAAAUCUUUCCUUGCUUCUGCCAUCUCUCUAAUUCACUCCUCUUGGUCCAUUACAGAAUGGUUUUCUUUGCCCAAGAAAGUCACUUUGUCAGGGCAGGUUCUUUGGAGGAAGGGCCCCAGGUGGCGGGGCUGGGUGGGGGUGGGCAGGGAAAGGGGAGGGAGUGAAAACUCACUGGCAGAGGAAGAGGUCACUGGAAUGGAACAGAGGGGUUGGGUACAGCCUGGGAACUUUCACAUCCCAUCUCAUUACAGAAUGCAAACUUGACAUGUGACCUGGAAUUCUGUCCAAAGUCAGCCACUCCUUGCUGGGGCAGGCCGUUAGCAGCCAAUCCAAUAGCCAUUCCUUCACCCCUUUUCCUUGCAAAUGCAACCCUGAUUUGCUUUGUGAUACCAAAGGGACCAGAUUCAAUGAUGAAAGUCUCACCCAGUUACAAUCUCCAGCUUUCUCUCAUGGGUUAAUUGAUUUACCAAUCUCGCUGGCAACUGGUGGUGGCCAUGAGGUUUGGUUUGGCCAAGGACACUGGAGGUAGGCAGAAGAACCUACCUCCCCAAGAGGGCCACAUCCUAAUACUUGGAAACUGAAACUAUGUUACACAGCAAAGGGGACUGAAGGUUGUAGAGGGAGUUAAGUUUGCUUAUCAGCUGACCUUUAUGUAGGGAGGAGAGUAGCCCGGAUUAUCCAGGGGGGCCCAGUGUCAUCACAGCAUCCUUAAAUGUAGACGAGGCAGAAGGGUCAGUGUCAGUGUGACAAAGCAUGAGACAGGUUUAGCCAGGCCUCACUGGAUUUGGAGAUCAAAGGGGGCCAUGAGCCAAAAAAACCUGGGCCCCCCUAGAAGCUGGAAAAGGCAAGAAAAUGGAUUCUCCUCUACAGCAUCCAGAAGGAAUGCAGUGCUGCUGACAACUUGACUUCAGCCCAGUGAAACCCAUUCCAGCCUUCUCAUCUCCAAAACUGGAAGAUAAUCAAUGUGGGUUGCUUUAAGCCACUAAACUGGUGGUAAUUUGUUAACACAGGGUUAGGCAACUAAUACAGGUACAGAAGAGAAACUCUGCUGGGGGUUCUGCAAAAAAAAAAAAAAAAAAUUUGAUUUUCUGAUUUAAAAAAAAAUGGCUGGUUCUAGUCUUUCCUCCACUCUCUGCCUUGAAAACAGAUGAUAGCAGGGGCUGUGGCAGCCCUCUUGUGCCUCUUGGGUCACAGUGUGAAGAUGAAAAGCCACAUGUCAAGGAUAGUGAAAGAACAAACCUGGGCUCUGAUUGCAUUGUUGAGUUACCAAAAUAAUCCUCUAGGACUCUGAACUUCCACACUCCUUGUUAUGUGAGAAGGAUAACAUUUAGGACCUGUUAGUCAGAGCUAAUGUUACACAGUCCAUCGAUUUUUAUUGUGGCAGAAAAUGGGCCUGAAUCAAAAGGAAAGAGUACUGGAGUUCCCAUUGUGACUCAGUGGGUUAAGCAUCUGACUAGUAUCCAAGAGGAUGCGGGUUCGAUCCCUGGCCUCGCUCAGCGGGUUAAGGAUACAGCAUUCCCAUGAGCUGUGGUGUAGAUCACAGAUGCAGCUCGGGUCCCACGUUGCUGUGGCUGUAGUGUAGGCCGGCAGCUACAGCUCCGACUCCACCCCUAGCCUGGGAACCUCCAUAUGCCUCGGGUGCAGCCGAAUAAAGAAAGGAAGGAAGGAAAGAAAGAAAAAGAAUACCAUUUCCUGAGCAUCUGUAAGCAUUACAGAGAGCCGUUUACAUAUUUGAUCUCACUUAUGUGAUAUAAGUGGAAGGAGAGACAAGCGGGUGCAGGACACGGAGCCAUUGGCAGGGCUUUAGGAAAAGCUAAUCCGGCCCCAGCUCUCAGCCCCUCCUCCGAAAGCCUAAUCUCCACCUUUGGAGUUUGGAGAGGAAGCGGGCUUCCAGCAGCUCUCACACCUGAUGAAGCUGCCAGACCCUGGGCAGGGGCUGGAGGGUGGACUCCCGCCAGCUGACCACGGCUUGAAGCUGCAGACUGAUUUCUGAGGGCCCCUGACCCCCCGGCAAAUUUCAAGAAACAGAAGUAGCGUGUCUCCCCAGCUUCUCUGGAAACUGGUGGGAGGGUCCCCUCCAGGCUGGGCAGGGAGCUGAGGUUCAGGACAGGGUCGGCUGCUUCCUCAGUGGCUACCUUGUCACUUGGGCGGAUGCCCAGGGGAGAAGCCCAUUCACACGUGGGUCCCUGCAUGGGGACAGGCAGCUUUCUGCAGUCAGUCUGCCUGGCAUUGGUGCAGGCCAGCAGUGCCCUUGGUGGUAAAAAUGAAGCCAUCAGUCUCCCAUAAGCCCCUGGCAGCAUGGGUCACAGGCAAGUGCAAAGCAAAUAGAGCUCCAGCGCCCCUUCCUGCCAGGAAGUAGGGCAGAGAUCAGACAACAAAACCAACAUCCAUUUAUUUAAUACGGUGAUACUGUGGUUUAUAAGAAGAAAAGGAUAUUUGGUCUUUGUCCCCAUUUCAGGCACAAAGCUCCUAAAAUCUUUGGAAUUUCCCAUGAAAAGAGAGAGAAAAGUGUCUCUUGGAGUUCCCGUCGUGGCUCAGUGGUUAACGAAUCCGACUAGGAACCAUGAGGUUGCGGGUUCGGUCCCUGCCCUUGCUCAGUGGGUUAAGGAUCCAGCGUUGCUGUGAGCUGUGGUGUAGGUCGCAGACGCGGCUCGGAUCCCAUGUUGCUGUAGCUCUGGUGUAGGCCGGUGGCUACAGCUCCGAUUCAACCCCUGGCCUGGAAACCUCCAUAUGCUGCGGGAGCAGCCCUAGAAAGGGAAAAAAAGACCAAAAAAAAAAAAAAAAGGUGUCUCUUGUUCCGUUAAUGACCCACACCUAAGGAUGGCGCUGGUUGUCAGGAGCCAUGUGAACUUCCAGUCCCACCCACCCCACCCCACCCUGACCUGGGGGGAGGCAGGAGGGGCCAGAGGUUGAAUCAGUCAACCAGGGCCAAGGAUUUUGCCAAUCCCGCCUGCAGAAUGAGGCCUCCUGGAAAACCCAAAAGGACGGGAUUGGGGGAGCUUCAGGUUAAUGACCAUGUGGAGGUACAGGGAGAGUGGCCAGCUCGGAGGGUGCGGAAGCUCCCCACCCUUUUCCCAAAACCUGCCCUGUGCCUCACUGCCGUCUGAGUGUCCUCGGUUAUAUGCUUGUAUAAUAAACAGGUAGCACAGUGAUCAAAUAUUUCUUUGUGAGCCACUCUAGCACACUAAUCAAGCUCAAAGAGGGGGGUCAUUGGAAUCGCCAAUCUGUAGCCAUCAGUCAGAAGCACGGGGGACAACCUGGACUAGUGACUGGCUUCUGAAGUGUGGGGAGGGGGUUGGUUGGGGGGAUGGCGGCCCGUCUUCUUGAGCCCUUAACCUGUGGAAUCUGCCGCUAUGGCCAGGUAGCCAGUGUCAGAGCUGAAUCAAUUAUAUGACACCCAGCUGGUGUGGGAGACUUGCUUGGAUGUGUGGGGGACACCUCCCCCCAUGUACUCGUUGAAAAUUGGUGGCUAGAAUCUUUAGUUGGUGAUUAGAAGUGGGAUCAGAAACCAACUCUUAUAGAGAGCCUGCUGUCUGCCACAUAUUGGAAUUACAAAGAUGAACAAAAAAAGUCCUGGCCUUGAGGAAUACACAGCUUUGUGGGGAACCCUUGGAUGAGAAUGACUCCAGCCAGGCAGAAGGUGCACAGCGCCGUGAAGGAGGCACCAUGAACUCCUAAGGGGGCAGAAAGGAUCAUAAUAAGCUCAGUUCAACUGAGAGGCCCUGGAGGGCUUCCUGGAGGAGGUGCUAUGAGGAGGCAGCCACAGGGAAGACAUUCCAGGUGGAAAGGAUUUUGACAAUAGGAGAGGAACCAUGAAGUGUAGGGACAAAGGGCAGCCUGACUGAGGCACAAGGCCCAGGUCUGGUGACAGCUGAUCAUUAGGCUGAGGAGAUAGACUGCAGUCGGAUGGAUGUCUGGAACACAGUGUGACAGGCCCUGGUGGACCAUUAAUAGAAAAAUAAUGGCCUGAGUAGAACUAUGUUUGAGGGAAUUUGACUUGGUUAAAGGCAUUGAGGAAGGAAAGAGAUUUGAGAGCCAUUCUGUGAGCUAGGAACCCCAUGUAAAUACCCUAGGCAGGUUAGGGGAGUGUAAACAAAAGUAGGGGUAAGGGGGGAGUUCCCUGGUGGUCUAGUGGUUAGGAUUCAGCACUUUCACCUCUGCAACCCCGGGGUUCAAUUCUUGGUCUGGAAACUCAGAUCCCACUUCAAACCCUUGCAUGUAACAGCCAAAAAAUAAAGAAAUAAAUAAAAAUAAAACAACUAGGGGCAAAGGGCAAAGUAGAAGAGGAGGGCGGACAAUGCCAGCCCUAAGGCAACCACCCUGCCUACCUGAUCUCUGGUCCCUCAUAGUACAACCAAAAGAAUGAAUUUUCUGCACAGAAAGCAACCCUCCAUUCAUCACCAAGCAUCACUUUUUUUUUUUUUUUUUUUUUUGUCUUUUUGUCUUUUUCCAGGGCCACACCCACAGCAUAUGGAGGUUCCCAGGCUAGGGGGCUAAUUGAAUCUGUAGCCGGCAGCCGAUACCAGAGCCACAGCAACGCAGGAUCCAAGUCGCAUCUGUGACCUACACCACAGCUCAGAGCAACGCCAGAUCCUUAACCCACUGAGCGAGGCCAGGGAUUGAACUCUCAACCUCAUGGUUCCUAGUCGGAUUCGUUAACCUCUGCGCCACAACAGGAACUUCCAAGCAGCACUUUUUAGGUAAAGCAAACCAAAGUUUAAAGCUUUGUGGGGUUUUCUUUUGGGGGGGGUGUUUUUAUUUUUGUCUUUUUAGGGCUGCACCUGUGGCAUAUGGAAGUUCCCAGGCUAGGGGUCAAAUUGGAGCUGUAGCUGCUAGCCUACACCACAGCCACAGCAAUGCCAGAUCCUUAACCCACUGAGCAAGGCCAGGGAUCAAACCCACAUCCCUGUGGGUACUAGUCGGGUUCUUAACCCGCCAAGCCAUGUCAGGAACUCCAAGUUUAAGGUUCUUAAAAGUUAAAAUGAGACAGGGUGGGGGUGGGGGGAUGUGCUGGGGGGUUGGGACGGAAAUGCUCUAAAAUUGGGUUGGGAUGAUCAUAUGUACAACUAUAAAUGUAAUAAAUUCACUGAGUAAUAUAAAAAAAAAAGAAAAAAAGAAAGUUCUUGAAAGUUAAAAGCUAAAGCCACACAUACUAUAAAAGAAAGAAUUUGGUCAUUUAAAAAGUAGAUAUUUCACUUUAAACAAAUGUGGAAUGAUCUUCCCUAGGACUGAGCAUUGAAUGCAGGGUAAAAACACAGGGUCGUGCCCGCCUCCCCCACAACAUUGAGUUGCAUCCACUCUUCAGCGAUUGUGAACAGUGCUACUGUGAACAUUUGUGUACACGUUUUUGUGUGAAGAAGGGGACUUUUUAGCAAAGAUGUGAAGGAGAUGCGGGAAUUACCCACACACGGCCGUGUGAGGGCCCUAAGUUGGGAAUCUGGGGGUGUCUGAGGAAAAGGCAGGAGGCAGGGAUGGGAGGAGACGUGGGUGAGAGAGAGGGGCGGCGAGUCACGUGAGGAUUGGAAGAGUCACGAGAGGACCAUGGGAUGGUCUUGAGCAGGGAAUCGGCUUGACCUAACACAUGUCUAAUCCUCUGUUUCACAGCAGCGUGUUCCCUGAGGUCAUUGGGGGGACGAGCAGACUCUGGACAGGGUGGAAGGGAGAGGGGAGCAAAGGGCAGGGGCUCCCUAAGAAGCCAGGAACACCCGGAGAGCAGAGGCGAGAUCCCAUGACGCCCGAGACCCAGGAGGUGAGCCUGGUGGACACCGGGAGGAGCCUGAGGCAAGA
rnacentral:lncRNA from 1 species